GACUAAUUUGUUUUCCUGUUCCGAUGCCUCUACCUAUGUCUACGCGUACCACUUGUUUCCUCGGGGGGCUUGCCCCCCGUUAGGACUCUUUCAUCAACCUUUUUGCAAUAGCAGUCAGCGUCUGAUACUACGUUAAUUAUUAAAACUUUCAACAAUGGAUCUCUUGGUUCUGGCAUCGAUGAAGAACGCAGCGAAAUGCGAUAAGUAGUGUGAAUUGCAGAAUUCAGUGAAUCAUCGAAUCUUUGAACGCACAUUGCGCCCCUUGGUAUUCCAUGGGGCAUGCCUGUUCGAGCGUCAUUUGAACCCUCAAGCUCUGCUUGGUGUUGGGUGUUUGUCCCGCCAUUGCGCGUGGACUCGCCUUAAAGCAAUUGGCAGCCAUGUAAUCCGGCUUUGAGCGCAGCACAUUGCGUACUCUCUACUGGUACAUUGGCAUCCAGAAGCGCAUUUUUUUACUCUUGACCUCGGAUCAGGUAGGGAUACCCGCUGAACUUAAGCAUAUCAAUAAGGCGGAGGAAUCAUUAACGAUUUUGGUUAAAACGUUCCUACUAUGUCUAGGUACCACUUGUUUCCUCGGGGGGCUUGCCCCGUUAGGACUCUUUCAUCAACCUUUUUGCAAUAGCAGUCGCGUCUGAUACUACGUUAAUUAUUAAAACUUUCACAAGGCAUCUCUGGUUCGGCAUCAUGAAAAACCAGCAAAAGGCAUAAGUUGGGUGAAUUGCAAAUUAAUGAAUCAUCAAUCUUUAAAGCAUCGCUGGGUAAUUCAUGGGGGCAGCGGUUCAGCUCUUUCAACUCAGUCGCUUGGUGUUGGGGUGUUUGCUCCCCUUUGCCUGCCCCCCUUAAAGCAAUUGGCGCCAUGUAAUCGGUUUUUAACCCGCAAAUGGUACUCCCAACGGUUAAUUUGUGCUCCGAAACGCAUUUUUUUUUCGCUUUAACCCCGGAUCCGGUGAGGGAAACCCCUUAAACUUAAACCAUUUAAUAACGGGGGAAAA
rnacentral:rRNA from 1 species